CGACAUAAAGAAAACAGCCAACAAUGGAUCUGAAUUGCUAAAUACCCAAAUAUGGGAGAUUACCGUUGAGUUGAAAUAACAAAAUGGCAGGACACAUGAUUUCUAAAAUGUAUGUCUGCGUGAUAACUGAAACGUUUCCAGAAUGUAAAGAAACAUCAAAAUAUCAGCCUUUCAAACAUCAUCUACUGGGACAUAAACAACAUUAGAGGAUGAAACCAACAAAUAUAUGCUCAGAACAGACAAGAUAACAAGGAUUUCAAAAAAAGGAUAAAGCUCACGAAAAGCUAAACUGAAUUAAGAAUUAUAUUGGAACAAUUUAUGAUUAGACACAUAUGAUAAAGAGAAAAUGAAACAACAUAUUAAGUUGAAACCCACGAUUCAAAUUAAUACCAGAUGAACCAUAAUGGAUGACAAAAAGUGAUGACAUCACAGCAAAAAUUGAUGAUGGCAGGGGAAUCUAGAGGUUCUCUAGAUAUGAUUCUAGAAGAUGAAGAAGAACUUUCAAAAUUACUAAGAGGUCCCAACAAAUCUAUACAUAAGUUACCAGCUAACAUGUCUAUCACAGACAGGGUAACCUUAGUGAGAAACACAGCCGAGCAGAAACACCUGCGACUCGUGAGCAGCCAUUUUAAAAGAGAAAUGAAGAAAAACAUGGCAGCAUAUCGCAAUAAAACUGACCAAUUGAAAGAGGAGUUAUACCAAUUCCAAAAUGAUCUUAACCAAUUUCACAUGGAUGACUCAAAAGAUGGCAGGACUAGUUCCAAUAUGGCUGACACGCCAUCACGAUUUUACUCCUCGCCAUAUAGUCGGAUAACUCCAAAAACUGGUACAUCCAGUCGGAAUGGAUUGUUGAAGCCCAAAUGGAAUUCUAGUCAUAAUUUAUUGGAUAGUGAAAUGCUCAAAGCAGUAGAUGAACGAAGAAAUAGCACGCCCUUGCCAGAGAACUUGAUGGCUCUCCCAGAGCUAAAGAAUCAUAUACAGUUAUCAUACAUAGACAGGAAAAACUCAGUUCAGAAUCUUUCACAUAUUUUAAUCCCAGAGGAGGAUAAAAUUGAUUCUGAUCCUCCAUCAUUUGAUUCUAGUAUGGAGUCAGACGAACAGACAUUACAGAGUGAUAUAAAACCCAAACAGGAAACAAUGGAUUAUACCGAAGGAAAACAUCAUACAGAUAAUACUGAUAAAAAUACCAAUAGCAAAACAAGAAAUAAAUCUAAAGGAAAAAGAACAAACAGAAAAGCAAAAGAACCAGCAGAAAGUCCUGACAAAAUGUCAUUUAGUCCUAAAAAUAAAAAUAAAAGCAACAAAAAGGUCCACUUUGCUUGUGACACAUCAGAUGGAGGAUACAGCUCAAUGUCAAGCUCCCCCAAACCUACAUUGGAGCCCCAAAAACCAGCACUUAAAUUUCCUAUCAUCCUUGAGAGAACCAACUCCAUAAUACCACCAAUUAUGGAGAAAUUCUGCAUCCUUGGACCACCCCAUAAACCCAACAAUAUUGAACGUCAAACAAGUGAUAAAAACUUGAAAAGAAUGAAAAGUCGGACUAAACCAAACAAAACAGCAAUCACUAGAAAGUCCUCAGAGAGUAAAAUUGAGUAUAAAGUAUAUUAUAAAAACCCAGACAAAGACAUCAGCCCUGUGGACAAAUUUCGGGAAGUUGCACAAAAAGUGAUGCCCCAAUCACGAACAAAUAGAGACAAAAUGAGCAUGCUGGAUGUGGUGCUUGCAGUGAAAGAAAGACUCUGGGAAAACCAGCGGGACUUAAAAUUUGGAGAAUCAGUGCCAAAGGCAAAUCAUGGUGUUUUAUUGACAGAUUUCUUGCUGAGUAAAUCUGCAGAUCAUGAAAGACAGGAGAACAAAAUGGCAGGGAAGGGAUCUUCUCAAAAUGGUGCCCCAGGGUUCUCAGCUGAACGAAGUGGAAGACGUCACCCAAAUGUGCUUUUGAAAAAUCAACUCCGAAAAAUGGCGAGAAAUCGAACAAUGUCAGAACAAAUAGAGGCAGAGCAAUAUAGACUUGAAAAUAUGGAUGUCACAAAAUCCUGACACUAUGACAUUGGGGCUCUAUGAAAUGUGCAUGUAAUCUGACAUGAAUUUGUGACAGUGGAAUACAGUUAUCAGUAAAAAAUAUGUUA
rnacentral:misc_RNA from 1 species